rnacentral:rRNA from 1 species
GACAGAGGGUGCAAACGUUGCUCGGAAUUACUGGGCGUAAAGCGCGUGUAGGCGGACCACCAAGUCGGACGUGAAAGCCCUGAGCUCAACUCAGGAACUGCAUCCGAAACUGGCGGUCUGGAGUAGUGGAGAGGAAAGCAGAAUUCCUGGUGUAGAGGUGAAAUUCGUAGAUAUCAGGAGGAACACCGAUGGCGAAGGCGGCUUUCUGGACACUUACUGACGCUGAGACGCGAAAGCGUGGGGAGCAAACAGG